rnacentral:rRNA from 1 species
CUACACUCCGACUUCGGAAGGGGUGUAUUUAUUAGAUACAAAACCAAUGCCCUUCGGGGCUCUUUGGUGAUUCAUGAUAACUAUACGAAUCGCACGGCCUUGCGCCGGCGAUGGUUCAUUCUAAUUUCUUCCCUAUCAACUUUCGAUGUUUGGGUAUUGGCCAAACAUGGUUGCAACGGGUAACGGAGGGUUAGGGCUCGACCCCGGAGAAGGAGCCUGAGAAACGGCUACUACAUCCAAGGAAGGCAGCAGGCGCGCAAAUUACCCAAUCCCGACUCGGGGAGGUAGUGACAAUAAAUACUGAUACAGGGCCCUUUCGGGCCUUGUAAUUGGAAUGAGUACAAUUUAAAUCCCUUAACGAGGAACAAUUGGAGGGCAAGUCUGGUGCCAGCAGCCGCGGUAAUUCCAGCUCCAAUAGCGUAUAUUAAAGUUGUUGUGGUUAAAAAGCUCGUAGUUGAACCUUGGGCCUGGCUGGCCGGUCCGCCUCACCGCGUGCACUGGUCCGGCCGGGCCUUUCCCUCUGUGGAACCCCAUACCCUUCACUGGGCGUGGCGGGGAAACAGGACAUUUACUUUGAAAAAAUUAGAGUGCUCCAGGCAGGCCUAUGCUCGAAUACAUUAGCAUGGAAUAAUAAAAUAGGACGCGCGGUUCUAUUUUGUUGGUUUAUAGGACCGCCGUAAUGAUUAAUAGGGACAGUCGGGGGCAUCAGUAUUCAACUGUCAGAGGUGAAAUUCUUGGAUCAGUUGAAGACUAACUACUUGCGAAAGCAUUUUG